UAAGUGAAGAGUUUGAUCCUGGCUCAGAGUGAACGCUGGCGGUAGGCCUAACACAUGCAAGUCGAACGGCAGCACAGGAGAGCUUGCUCUCUGGGUGGCGAGUGGCGGACGGGUGAGGAAUACAUCGGAAUCUACUCUGUCGUGGGGGAUAACGUAGGGAAACUUACGCUAAUACCGCAUACGACCUACGGGUGAAAGCAGGGGACCUUCGGGCCU
rnacentral:rRNA from 1 species